UUGAGCAGGCUCUCAGGUAUGGCUGUCGUCCACUGUGGAAACAGAGCUUGUAUGGUCACUCCACUGACAGGAUGAGAGAGAGGCCUUGUCUUUGUGAUUAGCUACGGCCUCCACACUAACCCGAAGGCUGUCGGCUCACAACCGGCAAGUGGCGUGUGUGUGUAUAUGUAUGCCCCUGAGCAAAGCACUUAAAACUGAAUAGCUUAAAUAAAUACCCACAGUAGCUGUGUAAAUACAAGCAGUGCUCGAUCCGAAGCCUUGAGAGCCAAGCGCCCGCUAAGAAAAGCUCUAUUGAGUCAUAGCUUUAUCCUGUUUCUCUACUCUGCAGUACCACUCCAUAGAAGAAGGUGCCACUUUGUAUUGCUGUGUAGCUUCUCUGGCACCUGGUGUGAGGCUCGGACCUUCUACUGAAGGUAAGAUGACUGACAGUUGGCCAGAGAUGCUAAAGACUCCCCUGCAGGCUUGUCCUCACUGAGUCUCUGUGGAGAUCCUCCAGGCUGGGCUGAACGAUAUCAGGUUAGGUGUUGGUCUACUGUAGUCUCUGUGGAGAUCCUCCAGGCUGGGCUGAACGAUAUCAGGUUAGGUAUUGGUCUACUGUAGUCUCUGUGGAGAUCCUCCAGGCUGGGCUGAACGAUAUCAGGUCAGGUGUUGGUCUACUGUAGUCUCUGUGGAGAUCCUCCAGGCUGGGCUGAACGAUAUCAGGUUAGGUAUUGGUCUACUGUAGUCUCUGUGGAGAUCCUCCAGGCUGGGCUGAACGAUAUCAGGUCAGGUGUUGGUCUACUGUAGUCUCUGUGGAGAUCCUCCAGGCUGGGCUGAACGAUAUCAGGUUAGGUAUUGGUCUACUGUAGUCUCUGUGGAGAUCCUCCAGGCUGGGCUGAACGAUAUCAGGUCAGGUGUUGGUCUACUGUAGUCUCUGUGGAGAUCCUCCAGGCUGGGCUGAACGAUAUCAGGUUAGGUAUUGGUCUACUGUAGUCUCUGUGGAGAUCCUCCAGGCUGGGCUGAACGAUAUCAGGUCAGGUGUUGGUCUACUGUAGUCUCUGUGGAGAUCCUCCAGGCUGGGCUGAACGAUAUCAGGUCAGGUGUUGGUCUACUGUAGUCUCUGUGGAGAUCCUCCAGGCUGGGCUGAACGAUAUCAGGUCAGGUGUUGGUCUACUGUAGUCUCUGUGGAGAUCCUCCAGGCUGGGCUGAACGAUAUCAGGUCAGGUGUUGGUCUACUGUAGUCUCUGUGGAGAUCCUCCAGGCUGGGCUGAACGAUAUCAGGUUAGGUAUUGGUCUACUGUAGUCUCUGUGGAGAUCCUCCAGGCUGGGCUGAACGAUAUCAGGUCAGGUGUUGGUCUACUGUAGUCUCUGUGGAGAUCCUCCAGGCUGGGCUGAACGAUAUCAGGUUAGGUGUUGGUCUUAUUGCAGUCUUUGUGGGGCUCCGUCUGUGGUCCUCACCCACCGUCUCAGUUUCAUCCAUGUUCAUGACACAUUACAGAGGACCUGGAGGUCCGCUUUAAUC